CGGUGAAGUAGGUGAACAAGCUGGAAAGCUUGGCGAUACAGGGUGAUAGCCCCGUAACCGACGCUUCAUCGAGCGUGAAAUCGAGUAGGGCGGGACACGUGAUAUCCUGUCUGAAUAUGGGGGGACCAUCCUCCAAGGCUAAAUACUCCUGACUGACCGAUAGUGAACCAGUACCGUGAGGGAAAGGCGAAAAGAACCCCUGUGAGGGGAGUGAAAUAGAACCUGAAACCGUGUACGUACAAGCAGUAGGAGCACCUUCGUGGUGUGACUGCGUACCUUUUGUAUAAUGGGUCAGCGACUUAUAUUCAGUGGCAAGGUUAACCGUAUAGGGGAGCCGUAGCGAAAGCGAGUCUUAACUGGGCGCUCAGUCUCUGGAUAUAGACCCGAAACCGGGUGAUCUAGCCAUGGGCAGGUUGAAGGUUGAGUAACAUCAACUGGAGGACCGAACCGACUAAUGUUGAAAAAUUAGCGGAUGACUUGUGGCUAGGGGUGAAAGGCCAAUCAAACUCGGAGAUAGCUGGUUCUCCCCGAAAGCUAUUUAGGUAGCGCCUCGGACGAAUACUACUGGGGGUAGAGCACUGUUAAGGCUAGGGGGUCAUCCCGACUUACCAACCCUUUGCAAACUCCGAAUACCAGUAAGUACUAUCCGGGAGACACACGGCGGGUGCUAACGUCCGUCGUGGAGAGGGAAACAACCCAGACCGCCAGCUAAGGUCCCAAAGUAUUGCUAAGUGGGAAACGAUGUGGGAAGGCUCAGACAGCUAGGAUGUUGGCUUAGAAGCAGCCAUCAUUUAAAGAAAGCGUAAUAGCUCACUAGUCGAGUCGGCCUGCGCGGAAGAUGUAACGGGGCUAAGCAAUACACCGAAGCUGCGGCAAUGUCUUUUAGAUAUUGGGUAGGGGAGCGUUCUGUAAGCCGUUGAAGGUGGAUCGUAAGGUUUGCUGGAGGUAUCAGAAGUGCGAAUGCUGACAUGAGUAACGACAAAGGGGGUGAAAAACCUCCUCGCCGGAAGACCAAGGGUUCCUGUCCAACGUUAAUCGGGGCAGGGUGAGUCGACCCCUAAGGUGAGGCCGAAAGGCGUAAUCGAUGGGAAACGGGUUAAUAUUCCCGUACUUCUGACUAUUGCGAUGGGGGGACGGAGAAGGCUAGGUGGGCCAGGCGACGGUUGUCCUGGUUCAAGUGCGUAGGCUUGAGAGUUAGGUAAAUCCGGCUCUCUCUAAGGCUGAGACACGACGUCGAGCUACUACGGUAGUGAAGUCAUUGAUGCCAUGCUUCCAGGAAAAGCCUCUAAGCUUCAGAUAGUCAGGAAUCGUACCCCAAACCGACACAGGUGGUCGGGUAGAGAAUACCAAGGCGCUUGAGAGAACUCGGGUGAAGGAACUAGGCAAAAUGGUACCGUAACUUCGGGAGAAGGUACGCUCUUGAUGGUGAAGUCCCUCGCGGAUGGAGCUGACGAGAGUCGCAGAUACCAGGUGGCUGCAACUGUUUAUUAAAAACACAGCACUGUGCAAAAUCGCAAGAUGACGUAUACGGUGUGACGCCUGCCCGGUGCCGGAAGGUUAAUUGAUGGGGUUAGCGCAAGCGAAGCUCUUGAUCGAAGCCCCGGUAAACGGCGGCCGUAACUAUAACGGUCCUAAGGUAGCGAAAUUCCUUGUCGGGUAAGUUCCGACCUGCACGAAUGGCGUAAUGAUGGCCACGCUGUCUCCACCCGAGACUCAGUGAAAUUGAAAUCGCUGUGAAGAUGCAGUGUACCCGCGGCUAGACGGAAAGACCCCGUGAACCUUUACUACAGCUUGGCACUGAACAUUGAACCUACAUGUGUAGGAUAGGUGGGAGGCUAUGAAGACGUGACGCCAGUUGCGUUGGAGCCGUCCUUGAAAUACCACCCUUGUAUGUUUGAUGUUCUAACUUAGCCCCAUUAUCUGGGGUGAGGACAGUGCCUGGUGGGUAGUUUGACUGGGGCGGUCUCCUCCCAAAGAGUAACGGAGGAGCACGAAGGUGGGCUAAUCACGGUUGGACAUCGUGAGGUUAGUGCAAUGGCAUAAGCCCGCUUAACUGCGAGAAUGACGGUUCGAGCAGGUGCGAAAGCAGGUCAUAGUGAUCCGGUGGUUCUGUAUGGAAGGGCCAUCGCUCAACGGAUAAAAGGUACUCCGGGGAUAACAGGCUGAUACCGCCCAAGAGUUCAUAUCGACGGCGGUGUUUGGCACCUCGAUGUCGGCUCAUCACAUCCUGGGGCUGAAGUCGGUCCCAAGGGUAUGGCUGUUCGCCAUUUAAAGUGGUACGCGAGCUGGGUUUAGAACGUCGUGAGACAGUUCGGUCCCUAUCUGCCGUGGGCGUUGGAAGAUUGAAGGGGGCUGCUCCUAGUACGAGAGGACCGGAGUGGACGAACCUCUGGUGUUCGGGUUGUGUCGCCAGACGCAUUGCCCGGUAGCUAAGUUCGGAAUUGAUAAGCGCUGAAAGCAUCUAAGCGCGAAGCGAGCCCUGAGAUGAGUCUUCCCUGAUACUUUAAGUAUCCUAAAGGGUUGUUCGAGACUAGAACGUUGAUAGGCAGGGUGUGUAAGCGUUGUGAGGCGUUGAGCUAACCUGUACUAAUUGCCCGUGAGGCUUAACCA
rnacentral:rRNA from 1 species